GCAAGUCGAACGGAAAGGCCCUUCGGGGUACUCGAGUGGCGAACGGGUGAGUAACACGUGGGUGAUCUGCCCUGCACUUUGGGAUAAGCCUGGGAAACUGGGUCUAAUACCGAAUAUGACUGCGCACUUCCUGGUGUGUGGUGGAAAGCUUUUGCGGUGUGGGAUGGGCCCGCGGCCUAUCAGCUUGUUGGUGGGGUAAUGGCCUACCAAGGCGACGACGGGUAGCCGGCCUGAGAGGGUGACCGGCCACACUGGGACUGAGAUACGGCCCAGACUCCUACGGGAGGCAGCAGUGGGGAAUAUUGCACAAUGGGCGCAAGCCUGAUGCAGCGACGCCGCGUGAGGGAUGACGGCCUUCGGGUUGUAAACCUCUUUCAAUAGGGACGAAGCGCAAGUGACGGUACCUAUAGAAGAAGGACCGGCCAACUACGUGCCAGCAGCCGCGGUAAUACGUAGGGUCCGAGCGUUGUCCGGAAUUACUGGGCGUAAAGAGCUCGUAGGUGGUUUGUCGCGUUGUUCGUGAAAACUCACAACUCAAUUGUGGGCGUGCGGGCGAUACGGGCAGACUAGAGUACUGCAGGGGAGACUGGAAUUCCUGGUGUAGCGGUGGAAUGCGCAGAUAUCAGGAGGAACACCGGUGGCGAAGGCGGGUCUCUGGGCAGUAACUGACGCUGAGGAGCGAAAGCGUGGGGAGCGAACAGGAUUAGAUACCCUGGUAGUCCACGCCGUAAACGGUGGGUACUAGGUGUGGGUUCCUUCCUUGGGAUCCGUGCCGUAGCUAACGCAUUAAGUACCCCGCCUGGGGAGUACGGCCGCAAGGCUA
rnacentral:rRNA from 1 species